rnacentral:rRNA from 1 species
UACAGAGGGGGCCAGCGUUAUUCGGAAUUAUUGGGCGUAAAGGGCGCGUAGGCGGCCAUACGUGUCUUCCGUGAAAUCCCUCGGCUUAACUGAGGACGUGCGGAAGAAACUGCAAGGCUCGAGUCCGGGAGAGGGGGGUGGAAUUCCCAGUGUAGCGGUGAAAUGCGUAGAUAUCUGGAGGAACACCGGUGGCGAAGGCGACAUCCUGGAC